rnacentral:rRNA from 1 species
GAUGAACGCUAGCUACAGGCUUAACACAUGCAAGUCGAGGGGAAACGACAUCGAAAGCUUGCUUUUGAUGGGCGUCGACCGGCGCACGGGUGAGUAACGCGUAUCCAACCUGCCCACCACUUGGGGAUAACCUUGCGAAAGUAAGACUAAUACCAAAUGAUAUCUCUAGAAGACAUCUGGAAGAGAUUAAAGAUUUAUCGGUGAUGGAUGGGGAUGCGUCUGAUUAGCUUGUUGGCGGGGUAACGGCCCACCAAGGCUACGAUCAGUAGGGGUUCUGAGAGGAAGGUCCCCCACAUUGGAACUGAGACACGGUCCAAACUCCUACGGGAGGCAGCAGUGAGGAAUAUUGGUCAAUGGGCGAGAGCCUGAACCAGCCAAGUAGCGUGCAGGAUGACGGCCCUAUGGGUUGUAAACUGCUUUUAUAAGGGAAUAAAGUGAGCCUCGUGAGGCUUUUUGCAUGUACCUUAUGAAUAAGGACCGGCUAAUUCCGUGCCAGCCGCCGCGGUAA